GCCUUGUACACACCGCCCGUCACACCAUGAGAGUCGGGAACACCCGAAGUCCGUAGCCUAACCGCAAGGAGGGCGCGGCCGAAGGUGGGUUCGAUAAUUGGGGUGAAGUCGUAACAAGGUAGCCGUAUCGGAAGGUGCGGCUGGAUCACCUCCUUUCUAAGGAGA
rnacentral:rRNA from 1 species